GUGCCAGCAGCCGCGGUAAGACGAACCGUGCGAACGUUAUUCGGAAUCACUGGGCUUAAAGCGCGUGUAGGCGGGGCGGAACGUCGGAUGCUGAAAGCCCCCGGCUCAACCGGGGAAGUGGCACCGAUACGACCGCCCUCGAGGGACGUAGGGGGACCUGGAACUUCCGGUGGAGCGGUGAAAUGCGUUGAGAUCGGAAGGAACGCCCGUGGCGAAAGCGAGGUCCUGGACGUUUUCUGACGCUGAGACGCGAAAGCCAGGGGAGCGAACGGGAUUAGAUACCCCCGUAGUCC
rnacentral:rRNA from 1 species